GUCAAGUCAUUGUUUCUGUCACCACAUCUUCUUAAGUUUGAUAAAAUCCCAACAACAAAUGUCAGUUCAGAUCAGAUUUACAACAGGCAAACACCUGUUCUUCCGGGCUGCCUAGAUGAAGACCCCUGUGAUUACCGUUCUCAGGGAGGAGGGAUGUCUUGGUGGGGGCCCGAUGUGCACUCUGACCCCUUGGCCCUGAAGCUCCCGGUGUGUGGACCUCAGCGGCGUAGGCUAGAGGCCUGGAGUCAGUGGAGGCUGAUUUGAAAGCUCUGUGGUCCUGCCCCCCCGCCCCGUGAGCAGCAGAUGCUACUGAGGAGCAUGUGGCAGGUUAUGGCUCCGUCUGAUGGCAGGGCCCUUAAAAAACCACAGAAACCAGGACAAUGGGGCAAAGAGGCCUCUGAAGGAGCUGAGAGUGGAGGGCUCACGCCUGGGUUCGUGCAGGAGAUGUUUGAGAUCUGCUCCUCCUGGGGGGCUGAGUAACUCGGAGGCUUUGUGACCAGGUCAUGUUCCACAGUGUUACAGCUUUUACGGCCAGCGUGAGUCCGGGGCAGACCGCUUGGUUUCACUCCUGCUGUUCCCAAGGCAUGCCGCUCCCAACAGGUGACCUCUGUCCCUGCUGGAAGGUGGGCUCAGGAUGUCACCGCCCUCGCUGUUCCCAAGGGACUCCUAAAGUGGGUCUGACUUCCGCCAUGUGCUCUUGUGGUGGCUCCUCGUCCCCAGACACUUCCCUAACACUCCGUAACGCUCCCUAUUCUGUCUCGAGUGCUCAGAAAGCUCUUGUUUUGUUCCAGGUGCGUGUCUGAACACUGUACCGUAGUUCACCCAUCCACACACCGGCCCUGUGAAGGAAUGCUC
rnacentral:lncRNA from 1 species